rnacentral:rRNA from 1 species
AGUGAACGCUGGCGGUAGGCCUAACACAUGCAAGUCGAACGGCAGCACAGUAAGAGCUUGCUCUUACGGGUGGCGAGUGGCGGACGGGUGAGGAAUACAUCGGAAUCUACUUUUUCGUGGGGGAUAACGUAGGGAAAAUUACGCUAAUACCGCAUACGCCCUACGGGUGAAAGCAGGGGAUCUUCGGACCUUGCGCGAUUGAAUGAGCCGAUGUCGGAUUAGCUAGUUGGCGGGGUAAAGGCGCACCAAGGCGACGAUCCGUAGCUGGUCUGAGAGGAUGAUCAGCCACACUGGAACUGAGACACGGUCCAGACUCCUACGGGAGGCAGCAGUGGGGAAUAUUGGACAAUGGGCGCAAGCCUGAUCCAGCCAUACCGCGUGGGUGAAGAAGGCCUUCGGGUUGUAAAGCCCUUUUGUUGGGAAAGAAAAGCAGCAGGUUAAUACCCCGCUGUUCUGACGGUACCCAAAGAAUAAGCACCGGCUAACUUCGUG